GGUGAACGCUGGCGGCGUGCCUAACACAUGCAAGUCGAGCGGUGCAGUUUGAAGCUUCGGUGGAAAGCUGCAUAGCGGCGGACGGGUGGGAAAACGUAGGAACGUGCCCCUUCGGAGUUGGAUAGCCACGGGAAACUGUGGGUAAACCGACAUAGACUCGAGAGAGUAAAGGCCGAAAGGCGCCAAGGGAGCGGCCUGCGGCCCAUCAGGUAGUUGGUAGUGUAAAGGACUACCAAGCCGACGACGGGUAGCCGGUCUGAGAGGAUGGCCGGCCACAAGGGCACUGAGAGACGGGCCCUACUCCUACGGGAGGCAGCAGUGGGGGAUUUUGGACAAUGGGCGAAAGCCUGAUCCAGCGACGCCGCGUGGAGGACGAAGCCCUUCGGGGUGUAAACUCCUUUUCUCAGGGAAAAAGGAUGAUGGUACCCGAGGAAUAAGCCCGGCUAACUACGUGCCAGCAGCCGCCGGUAAAACGUCUACUG
rnacentral:rRNA from 1 species